AGAGUUUGAUCCUGGCUCAGGACGAACGCUGGCGGCGUGCCUAAUACAUGCAAGUCGAGCGGACCGAACGAGAGCUUGCUCUUGUUUGGUCAGCGGCGGACGGGUGAGUAACACGUGGGCAACCUGCCCGCAAGACCGGGAUAACUCCGGGAAACCGGAGCUAAUACCGGAUAACACCAAAGACCGCAUGGUCUUUGGUUGAAAGGCGGCUUCGGCUGCCACUUGCGGAUGGGCCCGCGGCGCAUUAGCUAGUUGGUGAGGUAACGGCUCACCAAGGCGACGAUGCGUAGCCGGCCUGAGAGGGUGACCGGCCACACUGGGACUGAGACACGGCCCAGACUCCUACGGGAGGCAGCAGUAGGGAAUCUUCCGCAAUGGACGAAAGUCUGACGGAGCGACGCCGCGUGGGCGAAGAAGGCCUUCGGGUCGUAAAGCUCUGUUGUGAGGGACGAAGGAGCGCCGUUUGAAUAAGGCGGCGCGGUGACGGUACCUCACGAGAAAGCCCCGGCUAACUACGUGCCAGCAGCCGCGGUAAUACGUAGGGGGCGAGCGUUGUCCGGAAUUAUUGGGCGUAAAGCGCGCGCAGGCGGUCCUUUAAGUCUGAUG
rnacentral:rRNA from 1 species